rfam:Photobacterium jeanii strain R-40508 scaffold1, whole genome shotgun sequence.
UUUUCUUGGUGGUGGCACUCCCAACUUUGGGCGGUGUAAUUCCCUGUACCUGUAGGACAGCAUUCACACUAGCCCGCACACUGCGGGCUUUUUUAC